UGGGGAAUCUUGCGCAAUGGAGGAAACUCUGACGCAGCCACGCCGCGUGAGUGAAGAAGGCCUUCGGGUUGUAAAGCUCUGUCGCCCGGGACGAAACUCUGUGAGGUGAAUAGCCUCAUGGACUGACGGUACCGGGAGAGGAAGCACCGGCUAACUCUGUGCCAGCAGCCGCGGUAAUACAGAGGGUGCAAGCGUUGCUCGGAAUCAUUGGGCGUAAAGGGCAAGUAGGUGGUCUCAUUUGUCUGGGGUGAAAGCCUUGAGCUUAACUCAAGAAGUGCCCCGGAAACGGUGAGACUAGAGUCCUGGAGAGGGUCGUAGAAUUCCCGGUGUAGCGGUGAAAUGCGUAGAGAUCGGGAGGAAUACCAGAGGCGAAGGCGGCGACCUGGACAGGCACUGACAC
rnacentral:rRNA from 1 species